CAGCCGCCACGGGAAUACGGAGGAUCCAAGCGUUAUCCGGAUUUAUUGGGUUUAAAGGGUGCGUAGGCGGCCUAUUAAGUCAGGGGUGAAAGACGGUAGCUUAACUAUCGCAGUGCCUUUGAUACUGAUGGGCUUGAAUACACUUGAGGUAGGCGGAAUGUGACAAGUAGCGGUGAAAUGCAUAGAUAUGUCACAGAACACCAAUUGCGAAGGCAGCUUACUAAAGUGUCAUUGACGCUGAGGCACGAAAGCGUGGGGAUCAAACAGGAUUAGAUACCCCCGUAGUCCCUGUCUCUUAUAC
rnacentral:rRNA from 1 species